rnacentral:rRNA from 1 species
CCUACGGGAGGCAGCAGUGGGGAAUAUUGGACAAUGGGGGCAACCCUGAUCCAGCAAUGCCGCGUGGGUGAAGAAGGCCUGCGGGUUGUAAAGCCCUUUCGGUGAGGACAAAACGCGCCACGUUAACACCGUGGUGUUUUGAUUUAACUCACUAAAGAAGCACCGGCUAACUCUGUGCCAGCAGCCGCGGUAAU